GAUUAAGUUAUUAAGGGCGCACGGUGGAUGCCUUGGCACUAGAAGCCGAUGAAGGACGUUACUAACGACGAUAUGCUUUGGGGAGCUGUAAGUAAGCUUUGAUCCAGAGAUUUCCGAAUGGGGAAACCCAGCAUGAGUUAUGUCAUGUUAUCGAUAUGUGAAUACAUAGCAUAUCAGAAGGCACACCCGGAGAACUGAAACAUCUUAGUACCCGGAGGAAGAGAAAGAAAAUUCGA
rnacentral:rRNA from 1 species